ACCUGCUACCUCCCACCGCCCCCGCAAGGUCCCCUGCUCGCCAGCUCCCUCGGUUGACCUCAUCGGGCCGCCCUCCCCUUCAUCCCACCGCAGACGUUAGGACUCGUACACCCCCUGCUCUUCGCCGCCUCUCCUCAUCGAAUCCGUUCAUCGAAGAGUCCGGGGAGGCGCUGCCACUCGGCAUGCUCGCGGCCUCGCCGGCGACCCAGAGCUAGGGGCCGACGGAGGCGGACGCGGAGGCGCGCGCCUCGUAUCCACCGGAUAGGAAGCUGCGGACACCACGUGUUGGAGGGCUUCACAACGCUGGCCGUCCCCAUGCAGAAACAGCCGAUGAGUCGGAGCAAUCACCGAGGGACGCCGUCGAGGACGCCCUGCUCCAGCGGGCUGCCCAUGUGGCGAGCGUUCUGGGCACCACCAAACCAGCAUCGUGUGCAGGUACUUCAAUCCUGUUUGGCGGUUCAUUCGAGUGGAUACCUUGGUGAAAUCCCACGUGGAAUUUCCAAAAAUCUUAUGUUCUACCUAUAUCCUAUGUUCAGCAAGCUGUUGUUGGCAGGAGGCCAGCCCUGCCAAUAUUGGGGACUGGCUUCGCCAGUAUAGAUGGAAAUGUGGGGAUGCAGGACCCAGUUGUCAAGGAGACCCCUGCCUUGGAGGACCAGUACGCCGUCGAGCUGGGUGCAGGAGACGGGCGGGUGCAGUGGACCUGCCGCCGGUUGGAAGGUGCAUGGCGGCGGUGUCCUGGAACACAUCGUCGUGGAGGACAGCAUCGUCCUGGAACACGGC